CCCAGCGUGGCACAGUGGUUCGAGCGUUGGACGACCACUCUGGAGACCAGGGUUCAAUUCCCAGCUUGGCC